rnacentral:tRNA from 1 species
GGGCCGGUAGAUCAGCGGAAGAUCGCUUGCUUCGCAAGCAAGAGGUCUCGGGUUCAAAUCCCGACCGGUCCA